AUUGAACGCUGGCGGCAGGCCUAACACAUGCAAGUCGAGCGGAUGAAGGGAGCUUGCUCCUGGAUUCAGCGGCGGACGGGUGAGUAAUGCCUAGGAAUCUGCCUGGUAGUGGGGGAUAACUUCCGGAAACGGGCGCUAAUACCGCAUACGUCCUGAGGGAGAAAGUGGGGGAUCUUCGGACCUCACGCUAUCAGAUGAGCCUAGGUCGGAAUAGCUAGUUGGUGGGGUAAAGGCCUACCAAGGCGACGAUCCGUAACUGGUCUGAGAGGAUGAUCAGUCACACUGGAACUGAGACACGGUCCAGACUCCUACGGGAGGCAGCAGUGGGGAAUAUUGGACAAUGGGCGAAAGCCUGAUCCAGCCAUGCCGCGUGUGUGAAGAAGGUCUUCGGAUUGUAAAGCACUUUAAGUUGGGAGGAAGGGCAGUAAGUUAAUACCUUGCUGUUUUGACGUUACCAACAGAAUAAGCACCGGCUAACUUCGUG
rnacentral:rRNA from 1 species